AAGUGAUUCUGCAGUAAACAGUAAACAGUGCAUUUUCACAUGUUAUGAAACUUGUUUUAUAUUCAAAGUGAACAGUCUUUUUGUUAUGUAGGGAAGAGCGGGGCGCGUGCUAACAGACUUUAUUUAGUAGUUUCCACAUACACUGGUAUGACGAAACUUCCUGUCUUUCCUGGUUGCCAUAGCAACACUGCAUAUAUAAAUAUAUAUAUAAUUAUAAAAAAUUGCACCAAAAUUCGAACGACUUUGGAAGAUAUCAAGGCAAGAUAAUUUUACCAUAGUGUAAUUAAAAUUUCACACAGACGUUAAUUUUCAGCUCUGUGUUUAGCGUUAAUUUAAAACGAGGCAAAUUUAUCAUCAUUUGACUCUUUAAUCUCUCAGUUAUAAUCCUACAGUCUCUAAAUGCUUAUAUAUCCUACAGAGCUGAAUAUUCAGAUCCCAGUCUCAGUUAUGUGUUAAAACUCGCCCCGAUAUUACAAGAAACUCUGCCAUGUAAAUACACACAAUUCCCUUUUAUGAUUUUAUUUCGUUCAGCGUGAGAAACAGGCCAAGCAGGACAGACAGGAGUGUACCUGCUGUUCUGUCAAUGGCAGGACAUGAAGUAAUGAGGGGCAAGUCAAAAACAGGUGUGGUAGGGUAUCAUAUCAGAGUUUUAAGUAUACCAGUAAUUUUUUUGGAAACCUGUAGUGGUCCAUUACACUCCAUAAAUAUUCCAGUGAGAUAAAGUCAGAUGCUUUUUUUGGUCUAAGCCUACAAUAAAGUAAUUUAUAUCUGGUGUAUUUAUAAUCAGGUCUCUCACUGUUCUGAGGUUGUCCCUCAUGUAUCUUCCUUUAAUCACACACAUCUGCUCUAUUUCUAUAAUCUUAUUUAAAGUGUCCUGCAUCCGGUUUGCAAUUAUUUUAGCCAGGAUUUUAUCAUCUACAUUCAUCAGACUUCUCUGUCUCCAAUUAUUGAAAUCAUACUGGUGUCCUUUUUAUAUAUUAGUGAUAAUGCACUAUGAUAAAAUGAUUUAUUUAAUGUUCCCUCCUGUAAUCCUUCAUUCUACAGAGCCGCUGAGAGAUCUGCAAUGUCUCUCCUACAGGCUCUGGAAAGUUCUGCUGGUAAUCCAUCAGGUCCUGGACUUUUCCCAUCGUUUAUCUUAAUAUUUCCAGUGCUGUCUCUGAUGCCUUUAAUACUCCUGUUUUCUCUGAGUUUUUACUUGUUUUAUUACAUUCUGUGGGUUUUCUGUGUGAUUUAUGUCAGGACCAGUCUGGAGCUGGACAUUUGGGAAUAAUUCAUCAUUUAUUCUGCAUAAUUCAGAUUUUAUUUUGGAGAAGAAAUCAUCAUCUUUGACAUUUUUGUUCUGUCUGGUUUAGAGUUGGACAUAGUCUGAGACAAGCUCAUUAUAAUGCUGCUUCUUUUACUGAUUAAGUAACUUUACAUUUUUGUUUUAAGUAAGCUGUUAUUUGUUUUUUGAAAAUAUCUCACAUUUCAGUGCUUGAUCUCAUUAAAACCUUUAAGUGUUUAA